rnacentral:rRNA from 1 species
GGGGAAACGCCCGGUCCCAUUCCGAACCCGGAAGCUAAGCCCUCCAGCGCCGAUGGUACUGCACUCGACAGGGUGUGGGAGAGUAGGACACCGCCGAAC